rnacentral:rRNA from 1 species
AUUGAACGCUGGCGGCAGGCCUAACACAUGCAAGUCGAGCGAGCGGCGGACGGGUGAGUAAUGUAUGGGGACUGCCCGAUAGAGGGGGAUAACUACUGGAAACGGUAGCUAAUACCGCAUACUAUCGGAUAAACCAUAUUGGAUUAGCUAGUAGGUGAGGUAAUGGCUCACCUAGGCGACGAUCCCUAGCUGGUCUGAGAGGAUGAUCAGCCACACGGGGACUGAGACACGGCCCAGACUCCGACGGAGGCAGCAGUGGGGAAUAUUGCAAAAGUGGCGCAAUCCUGAUGCAGCCAUGCCGCGUGUAGGAAGAAGGCCUUAGGGUGGUAAAGUACUUUCAGUCGGGAGGCGUUACCGACAGAAGAAGCACCGGCUAACUCCGUGCCAGCAGCCGCGGUAAUAC